rnacentral:rRNA from 1 species
GACGAACGCUGGCGGCGUGCUUAACACAUGCAAGUCGAACGGAAAGGCCCUGCUUUUGUGGGGUGCUCGAGUGGCGAACGGGUGAGUAACACGUGAGUAACCUGCCCUUGACUUUGGGAUAACUUCAGGAAACUGGGGCUAAUACCGGAUAGGAGCUCCUGCUGCAUGGUGGGGGUUGGAGAGUUUCGGCGGUUGGGGAUGGACUCGCGGCUUAUCAGCUUGUUGGUGGGGUAGUGGCUUACCAAGGCUUUGACGGGUAGCCGGCCUGAGAGGGUGACCGGCCACAUUGGGACUGAGAUACGGCCCAGACUACUACGGGAGGCAGAAGUGGGGAAUAUUGCACAAUAGGCGGAAGCCUGAUGCAGCAACGCCGCGUGCGGGAUGACGGCCUUCGGGUUGUAAACCGCUUUCGCCUGUGACGAAGCGUGAGUGACGGUAAUGGGUAAAGAAGCACCGGCUAACUACGUG